rnacentral:rRNA from 1 species
ACGCACGCUGGCGGCAUGCCUCACACAUGCAAGUCGCACGCGACCUUCGGGUCUAGUGGCGCACGGGUGCGUAACGCGUGGGAACCUGCCCUUAGGUUCGGAAUAACUCCCCGAAAGGGGUGCUAAUACCGGAUAAUGUCUUCGGACCAAAGAUUUAUCGCCUUUGGAUGGGCCCGCGUUGGAUUAGCUAGUUGGUAGGGUAAAAGCCUACCAAGGCGACGAUCCAUAGCUGGUCUGAGAGGAUGAUCAGCCACACUGGGACUGAGACACGGCCCAGACUCCUACGGGAGGCAGCAGUGGGGAAUAUUGGACAAUGGGCGAAAGCCUGAUCCAGCAAUGCCGCGUGAGUGAUGAAGGCCUUAGGGUUGUAAAGCUCUUUUACCCGGGAUGAUAAUGACAGUACCGGGAGAAUAAGCUCCGGCUAACUCCGUG